CUGUAUACCCUGAUGGCGCCGCUUGAGUGCGUGCGACCGCUCGUGCUCCUGCGUGUUUUUUUGCCUGACGGGUGCUUUUAUUAGACCAAACAUCGCUGGCGGCGCAAGCCGCUAGGCUCGUGAAAUGGUGACUCUGGAUAACCUUCUGACAAGCGCACGUACUUCAUUAUUCAUGGAGACGGCGCUGCCACUUUCGAGUGUCUGCCUUAUCAGCUAUCAACCGUUCGUUAUGUGCGACCGAUGGCUUUGACGGGUAACGGGGAAUCAGGGUUCGAUUCCGGAGAGGCAGCCUGAGAAACGGCUACCACGUCCAAGGACGGCAGCAGGCACGCAAAUUACCCAAUCCCAGCACCUGGGGGAGGUAGUGACGAAAUCUAACGAUGCGGGCGCCCAUUCUGGGCCUCGCAAUCGGAAUGAGCAUUUUCUAAACAACCUGUUGAGAACCUACUGAAGGGCAAGUCUGGUGCCAGCAGCCGCGGUAAUUCCAGCUUCAGCAGCAUAUAUUAAAGUUGCUGCGGUUAAAAGGCUCGCAGUUGAAUGUCAGUGUUGGGCGACGGUAAGGUGGACGCUGGAGCAUGGGAACUAAGCGCGCCAGCGUGCAGCUCGCGUGUGGCGUGUGGCCCGUGGCGUAGCGCCGUAACACGCGCGAAACCCUCGCCCCGCCGCGCGCGUCUCUCGCUGGCGUCUCUCACAAGCUCCCGUCUGUUACAAGCCUCCUCGCUCCAGUACAUGGGCGGUAACGACUCUCCUCGGAUUGCGCGAGCGCGCUCUUUUCUCCUAGCCUCGCGAAAGCCGUCUCUUCCCGUCGCGCACGUGUGCCAUCAUGUGUGCGCGUGCCUGGGAGCUUCGGUGUCUGUAGCUUGGCGCUCACGGGGAGGCGCGUCUUCGUGCCGAGGAGUGGGACGCGGUCAAAGAAGACGGCAGCAAUGUCGUCGUGCGCGCGGGCCAGAGUGCGUGUCCGAGGCGCGCGUGUGCUGUCUGCUGCGUGUGUGUGUGUGCGUGUGCGCGCGGUUGCUCUAGUGGCACCGUCGUCGUCACGCGCGCGCGCGCCGCUCUUACACGCUCGCGCGCGCUCUCCCUCGCACGUCUCCCGCGUGGCGCGCGUCCCUGUCUGUGUGUUGCUGCAUUGUCACCUUGAGUAAAUCGGAGUGCUCAAAGCAGUCGUAAAGGGCCUCGGCCCUGUGAUAAGUCUUGACGGACUGUCUUGAUUUUGCAUGGUAUGUCGGAAAACGACGUCGAGUGCUGGCUCAGAGUCUAUAGAAGUGGUUUCAAGCCAAAGCCUCGACGUAAUGAUUAAAAGGAACGGUCGAGGGCAUUGGUAUUGCGAGGCGAGAGGUGAAAUUCUAUGACCCCCGCAAGACCGCCUGAAGCGAAAGCGUCUGCCAAGGACGUUUUCAUUAAUCAUGAACGAAAGUUAGAGGAUCGAAGGCGAUCAGAUACCGCCCUAGUUCUGACCCUAAACGAUGCCAACCAUCAAUCCGCGUGAGCACCCUUUUUGACGGGCUCGGCGGGCAGCUCUCUUUUCACGGGAAACCAGAGUCUCUGGGUUCCGGGGGGAGUCUGGUUGCAAAGCUGAAACUUAAAGGAAUUGACGGAAAGGCACCACCAGGAGUGGAGCCUGCGGCUUAAUUUGACUCAACACGGGCCAUCUCACCAGGCCAGAACUCUAGCACGAUUGACAGAUUGAGAGCUCUUUCUCGAUUGAGUGGAUGGUGGUGCAUGGCCGUUCUUAGUUGGUGGAGUGAUCUGUCUGGUUAAUUCCGAUAACGAACGAGACUCUCCCCUGCUAACUAGUCGGUUGGAUCUUGUAUUUCGAUGCGAGUCGUGCGCCGGGUUUUCCUUCGCCUCGCGGCAGCGGUUCGAGUUUUUCCGGUCUCUCGCUGGGUGCGUGUGUGUGUGUGCUUGCGCGCGCGCGUGCGCGCGUGUGCGUGCCUUUUUUGUCUCAGGUCAUGUUUCUCUCAAGGAAGUGUGUGCCUGGGCGAGAGAGUGUGCGCGCGCGUGUGUGUGUGUGUGCGUGGGUGUGUGCGCGCGCGCCUCGGCGCUGUUGGCCGGGCUCUGCCGUUCUCGUUGCUUGGCGUGUCUGGUUUUCCCGGGUCGUACACUCCAAGUCCGCCGCUUAUGCUAUAAAACUCUUCUUAGAGGGAUCAACGGCUCUGAAGCCGUACGAGACUGAGAGCAAUAACAGGUCUGUGAUGCCCUUAGAUGUUCUGGGCCGCACGCGCGCUACAAUGCCGGGCACAGCAGGUGUUUUCCCUACUCCGAAAGGAGCGGGCAACCCUCUGAAAGCCCCAUCUCGUAUAUCAAAUGUAUCGGCCGGCGAGCACACAAACGCUCGUCGGUCGUGUGUGUGUUGGCGUGCUUGGGCCUGGGGCUUGCAAUUCUUUCCCACAAACGAGGAAUGCCUAGUAGCGGCGG
rnacentral:rRNA from 1 species